rnacentral:rRNA from 1 species
UACGAAGGGGGCUAGCGUUGUUCGGAAUUACUGGGCGUAAAGCGCACGUAGGCGGAUAUUUAAGUCAGGGGUGAAAUCCCGGGGCUCAACCCGGAACUGCCUUGAUACUGGGUAUCUCGAGUCCGAGAGAGGUGAGUGGAAUUCCGAGUGUAGAGGUGAAAUUCGUAGAUAUCUGGAGGAACACCGGUGGCGAAGGCGGCAUCCUGGACCGGCAUUGACGCUGAGGCGCGAAAGCUAGGGAGCAAACGGG